UAGGGAAUAUUGCGCAAUGGGCGAAAGCCUGACGCAGCAACGCCGCGUGAGUGAGGAAGGCCUUCGGGUUGUAAAGCUCUGUCAGGGUGGAAAAAUGGCUUUGGGUCUAAUAGGCCUAAAGUUUGAUGGUACACCCAGAGGAAGCACCGGCUAACUUCGUGCCAGCAGCCGCGGUAAUACGAAGGGUGCGAGCGUUGUUCGGAUUUAUUGGGCGUAAAGAGCACGUAGGCGGAUUUAUAAGUCAGGUGUGAAAUCUCGGAGCUCAACUUCGAAACUGCGCCUGAAACUGUAAAUCUAGAAUAUUGGAGGGGGAAGAGGAAUUUCGCAUGUAGGGGUAAAAUCCGUAGAGAUGCGAAGGAACACCAGUGGCGAAGGCGUCUUCCUGGCCGAUAAUUGACGCUGAGGUGCGAAAGCGUGGGUAGCAAACAGG
rnacentral:rRNA from 1 species